rnacentral:rRNA from 1 species
UAGGGAAUCUUCGGCAAUGGACGAAAGUCUGACCGAGCAACGCCGCGUGAGUGAAGAAGGUUUUCGGAUCGUAAAACUCUGUUGUUAGAGAAGAACAAGGACGUUAGUAACUGAACGUCCCCUGACGGUAUCUAACCAGAAAGCCACGGCUAACUACGUGCCAGCAGCCGCGGUAAUACGUAGGUGGCAAGCGUUGUCCGGAUUUAUUGGGCGUAAAGCGAGCGCAGGCGGUUUCUUAAGUCUGAUGUGAAAGCCCCCGGCUCAACCGGGGAGGGUCAUUGGAAACUGGGAGACUUGAGUGCAGAAGAGGAGAGUGGAAUUCCAGGUGUCGCGGUGAAAUGCGUAGAUAUAUGGAGGAACACCAGUGGCGAAGGCGGCACUCUGAUCUGUAACUGACACUGAGGCUCGAAAGCGUGGGGAGCAAACAGG